AUUGAACGCUGGCGGCAGGCCUAACACAUGCAAGUCGAGCGGCAGCGGGAAAGUAGCUUGCUACUUUUGCCGGCGAGCGGCGGACGGGUGAGUAAUGCCUGGGGAUCUGCCCAGUCGAGGGGGAUAACUACUGGAAACGGUAGCUAAUACCGCAUACGCCCUACGGGGGAAAGCAGGGGACCUUCGGGCCUGGCGGGAUUGGCUGAACCCGGGUGGGGUUAGCUAGUUGGUGAGGUAAUGGCUCACCAAGGCGACGAUCCCUAGCUGGUCGGAGAGGAUGAUCAGCCACACUGGAACUGAGACACGGUCCAGACUCCUACGGGAGGCAGCAGUGGGGAAUAUUGCACAAUGGGGGAAACCCUGAUGCAGCCAUGCCGCGUGUGUGAAGAAGGCCUUCGGGUUGUAAAGCACUUUCAGCGAGGAGGAAAGGUUGGUAGCUAAUAACUGCCAGCUGUGACGUUACUCGCAGAAGAAGCACCGGCUAACUCCGUGCCAGCAGCCGCCGUAAAAC
rnacentral:rRNA from 1 species